rnacentral:rRNA from 1 species
GUGGGGAAUAUUGGGCAAUGGGCGAAAGCCUGACCCAGCAACGCCGCGUGAAGGAAGAAGGUUUUCGGAUCGUAAACUUCUAUCCUUGGUGAAGAUAAUGACGGUAGCCAAGAAGGAAGCCCCGGCUAACUACGUGCCAGCAGCCGCGGUAAUACGUAGGGGGCAAGCGUUGUCCGGAAUGAUUGGGCGUAAAGGGCGCGUAGGCGGCCCGGUAAGUCUGAAGUGAAAGUCCUGCUUUUAAGGUGGGAAUGGCUUUGGAUACUGUCGGGCUUGAGUGCAGGAGAGGUAAGCGGAAUUCCCGGUGUAGCGGUGAAAUGCGUAGAGAUCUGGAGGAAUACCGGUGGCGAAGGCGGCCCCCUGGACAAAGACUGACGCUCAGGUGCGAAAGCGUGGGGAGCAAACAGGAUUAGAUACUCGAGUAGUCC